UGGAUUUCCCUUAUAAGGGCGACUGAAAGGGGAUGAGCCCAGCGCAUAACCUCCCGGUGGUAACGUGGCCGUGGAGGGGUGUUGCGUUUCGGUGGAUCCGUACCGCUUGAUUUGCUGACCGCCUAAGUCAUUGCUUGAAAGCAGCCCCAAGGAGGGUGGUAGGCCCGUGUGGCGGCGCCUGUAAAAAGGUUUGAAGCAAGUUGGGCGGAGGGGUUUUUACCGUAGAGUCGGGUUGCUUAGUACUGCAGCCCUAAGUAGGUGGUAAACUCCAUCUAAGGCUAAAUAUUACCACGAGUCCGAUAUUUGACAAGUACCGUGAGGGAAAGCUGAAAAGGACUCUGAAGAGAGAGUUCAAGAGGACGUGAAACCAUUAGAAGCUGAAACGGGUGGAACCGUGAAGGUGGAAAGAGGGGAUUCAGGCUGUGGACGGGUGCUUGGGCCUGAGGUUGGCUAUUGAGAGAGGACCCGGCGUUAGAGUUGAUUGCCGCGGCCCCUUUGGCUUUGAGCGCCUGUCGGCGGGCUUAUUUCUCCCUCGAGUACUGGUGGUGGCGACCCGCUGUUUGGAGCCCGAGGUCCCUUGGGGACUGGUGGCCUGCAGCUUUGUUGUGGGUGAUGACCUUAGAGGGUACUGUUGGGUUUUGAGCGGCGGUCACUGCAAGGAGGUGUGGCCUCCGUGAGGGGGCGAUACCUCUCGCCAUGUGAAAAGGAUCGGUAAUCCACCCGACCCGUCUUGAAACACGGACCAAGGAGUCCAACAUGUGCGCGAGUCUAAGGGUGAUUUAAACCUGGAGGCGAAAUGAAAGUGAGCUCCUUUUGGGGCAGGCCGAUCCCCUGUGGUUGAGUGGUGCGUUCUGUGCCAGCGGCAAUUGUGUUUGCUGUUGGUUUUGGGGCGUGUCGUUCUGCUACGGCUCCGUGCGGUUGCGUGCGGGGAGAUGGGGCGCAGGCCGAGGACUUGCCUUAGUGCGGCGCGGGCAACGGGAGGUCACCCUGUGGCUUCCUUAUCCCGAUGUGCGCCGGCAAGUACCUGAGAGCGCAGCCGUUGGGACCCGAAAGAUGGUGAACUAUGCCUGGCGAGGACGAAGCCAGAGGAAACUCUGGUGGAGGUCCGAAGCAGUUCUGACGUGCAAAUCGAUUGUCAGAGCUGGGUAUAGGGGCGAAAGACUAAUCGAACCAUCUAGUAGCUGGUUCCCUCCGAAGUUUCCCUCAGGAUAGCUGGCGUUGAUUGGAUGAGUUUCAUCCGGUAAAGCGAAUGAUUAGAGGCCUUGGUGGUGCAAUGCCGUCAACCUAUUCUCAAACUUUAAAUGGGUGAGAUGUAGAGCUUGCUUGAAAUAUGAAGCUGUAUAAUAAUUGAAUCAGAAUGCCUAGUGGGCCACUUUUGGUAAGCAGAACUGGCGCUGUGGGAUGAACCAAACGCACGAGUUAAGGGGCCUAAAUGAAUGCUAAUUUUGAGACUAGGAAAAGGUGUUGGUUGCUAUAGACAGCAGGGCGGUGGCCAUGGAAGUUGGAAUCCGCUAAGGAGUGUGUAACAACUCACCUGCCGAAGCAACUAGCCCUUAAAAUGGUAUGGCGCUGAAGCAUUCUCCCAAUACUCGGCCGCCGGGGCAUUGUUUUGGUUUUGUUGAGGCCAUGGAAGCCCCGGCGAGUAGGAGGGUCGCAGCGGUGAGCGUCGAAGGGACUGGGCGUGAGCCGGCCUGGAGCCGCCGCUGGUGCAGAUCUUGGUGGUAGUAGCAAAUAAUCAAGAGAGAGCCUCGUUGGCUGAUGUGGAGAAGGGUUCCAUGUCAACAUCAGUUGAACAUGGGUGAGUCAGGCCUAAGCCCAAGGAUAAAUUUCCUGUGUCCCACGUGUUCCCAGGCCUCCAAAGGGAUGGUCUUGUUAGAUUGAUGUGGUGUUGGCUAGGAUGAGCUGGCCUAGCCAGAGCUUUGCUUACUGUGGAUGAUGUGAUAUGAUGUGAUGCUGCAAUGAAUGUGAGAUUAAGCAAAUUGAUGUAUAGCCCGAAAGAUGACUUGAC
rnacentral:rRNA from 1 species